GAUGAAGAACGUAGCGAAAUGCGAUAAGUAAUGUGAAUUGCAGAAUUCAGUGAAUCAUCGAAUAUUUGAACGCACAUUGCGCCCAUUAGUAUUCUAGUGGGCAUGCCUGUUCGAGCGUCAUUAAGUCCACUUAAGCCCUGCUUAGUGUUGGGAGACUGCUCCAGCGGUGCUACCCUGUAGCUACCCUGCAGCUCCUCAAAGACAGCGGCGGAGUUGUGGUAUCCUCUGAGCUUAGUAACUUGUUCUAGCUUUCGAGUACACCACUUCCCCUGCCGUAAAACCCUUAAUUUUUAAUGGUUGACCUCGGAUCAGGUAGGAAUACCCGCUGAACUUAAGCAUAUCAAUAAGCGGAGGA
rnacentral:misc_RNA from 1 species